rnacentral:rRNA from 1 species
UACAGAGGUCUCAAGCGUUGUUCAGAUUCAUUGGGCGUAAAGGGUGCGUAGGUGGCGCUGUAAGUCAGGUGUGAAAUUUCGGAGCUCAACUCCGAAACUGCGUUUGAUACUGCGGUGCUUGAGGACUGGAGAGGAGAUUGGAAUUCACGGUGUAGCAGUGAAAUGCGUAGAUAUCGUGAGGAAGACCAGUGGCGAAGGCGGAUCUCUGGACAGUUCCUGGACA